rnacentral:lncRNA from 1 species
CUAUGGGUGCAGGCUUUGGGCCUACGUGCACAGGCCUGGCCGGAGGGCGGAGGGGGGAGGGAGGUUGGGGUGGCUGGGCUGUCUGUGCCUCCCCCCUCCCUUUGCCCAGCUACUUACUGGGUAGAUCAGGGCCUUAACGAAAACCAGGACACGAAACAGAACAAGCAAGGGGAGAGAACAAUCUCACCACCUGAUAUCUCAAGCAUGCCACCACAGAAGUGCCUGGAUCUUAUUGCAUCAGGUAAGUUCUGGAUCCAUGACACAAUCAGGGCUAUUGAUGUGUUUUCCUGUCAAUAGAUGGGAACAGCUUCAUUGAUGGAAGAGGGCAGACUGGCAAUAAAUAUUGCAUGACAUCAUGCAAAAGGGACAGUCAUAAAAUGUGACAGUCCUGUUUUUAUGUUGGUUUGCCACGUCCAUGCAAUAAAGCAGAGGUUCUCAAACUAAGACCCGUGGACCUAAUGCGCCCCUCCAAGGUCAUUUACCUGGCCCCUGUCCUAAACUUUAGAUUUAGGUUUGACCUAAGUCUGAAACAACUUGAAGGCACACAACAACAACAACAAUCCUAAUUUUGGACUAUUUCAUCAUAGUCUGCCCCCCCCAACAGUCUGAGGGACCACGAACCAGCCCUCCACUUAAAAAGUUUGAGGACCCCUGCAAUAAAGUCCUGACAUCUCAGUACUUAAACAGAUGGGAUCUGUUCAACUUAUUUUUUUUUUACACAUGCACAAAGAGAGAGAAGUGGGAAAGGAGAGGAAUCUUCUCUCUCUCUUUUUCUCAGCCCUGGAAUGAGGUAAUUUAUAGAGAAAAUUAAGAAGCCAUACCAUUAAAAACACAAAAAAUUUAAACUACACUUGAACUAUCCAUACAAAUCAGAGCAAUUUAAAUAUAUGCCCACUGACAAAAAUAGACAAUACAAGCCCAUUGUUAAAAGCUCUUAUUCCUAAAACACUUUGCUUUUCUCCUGGUUGCAGAAAUGCAGCUGGAUUCUUCUUGUCACCCUUUACUAAAUAACCGUGAAGGUGUGUGCUAGUAUUAUGGAUGUGUAUUGCAAGGGCCUCUUUAAGAGAGAUAAAUUAG